UCCGUAGGUGAACCUGCGGAAGGAUCAUUACCGAGUUCUCGGGCUUCGGCUCGAAUCUCCCACCCCUUUGUGAACAUACCUCUGUUGCUUUGGCGGCUCUUUGCCGCGAGGAGGCCCUCGCGGGCCCCCCCGCGCGCUUUCCGCCAGAGGACCUUCAAACUCCAGUCAGUAAACGUCGACGUCUGAUAAACAAGUUAAUAAACUAAAACUUUCAACAACGGAUCUCUUGGUUCUGGCAUCGAUGAAGAACGCAGCGAAAUGCGAUAAGUAAUGUGAAUUGCAGAAUUCAGUGAAUCAUCGAAUCUUUGAACGCACAUUGCGCCCCUUGGCAUUCCGAGGGGCAUGCCUGUUCGAGCGUCAUUACAACCCUCAAGCUCUGCUUGGUAUUGGGCGCCGUCCUCUCUGCGGACGCGCCUUAAAGACCUCGGCGGUGGCUGUUCAGCCCUCAAGCGUAGUAGAAUACACCUCGCUUUGGAGCGGUUGGCGUCGCCCGCCGGACGAACCUUCUGAACUUUUCUCAAGGUUGACCUCGGAUCAGGUAGGGAUACCCGCUGAACUUAAGCAUAUCAAUAAGCGGAGGA
rnacentral:rRNA from 1 species